ensembl:lncRNA
AAAUCCUUUGUAAUUUUGGUGGCAGUGUAGCUGUCGCAUUGAAAUGUAAUUAUUAUGUGAUUGCAAUGUUCAAAAUUUGGUGUUUAAUCUGGAUUCGUGUUGUGUUAUCGCCACCUACUGUUGGACCUGAGUGUGGCGCUUUGUGGUGCGCAUGCUUUGGGGUGAUGCUCAAUUAAGCGCACAUGUCACCAGAGACUGAAGGCUCGAGCCAGAAAGAGAACGCUGGCUUGUGUAAAAGGUGGAAAUAUGGAAGAUAUGGACUACAAUUGCUCAUGAAUGCUCAGUAGAAAGGCGCACACGUUUUUCACGGUGUUUGCUGGUGAAGAGAGGAUUAAAAUACUGGCUAAACAUCAGUUGGAACAUGGCCCUUUAUUCUACUUCGAACAUGAAAAACCUUCAGGAGCAGUUACACUGACUAUUUUCUCACCUUGUGUCAAAUCUCUUGCUUCUCAUUUAAAUGGAGAAUACAAAAAGACCCAGCUCAGUAUUUAUUGGGGUUGCCAAUUCAGAACAAAUUUCCAGAUAAAAACAAACAUAUACUAUUAUGUAAAUUAUUGUUUUUGGCAAGAAAAUGUAUUCUUUUUAAUUGGAUUAAUGAAAAACCACCAACAAUAACUCAGUGGUAUAAAGAAAUCUUUAGAGUUUUAUCAAUGGAAAGACUUGAGUGCAAAAUUAACUGCCAAUGAAGAUAUUUUUUUGGAUAUAUGGCGCCCGCUAUUGGAUUACUUACCUGAUGGUCUGAAGAAAACCAUAGUGAGAGGGGCAGCCCCCCUCCAAUGGCGGGUUGAGUUUGUCAGGACAAAUGUGUAAAUGACUGGUAGAUUGAAUUAUAUAUACUGUAUUGCUUUCUCGUUUACAUGUCUCAGACUGCUUUUUGUGUUUGUUUGUUUUUUGUUGUUUGUUUUCUCUCUGUUGUUGUUGUGGCAGUUGCUUUUGUUCUUUUUUUUCUAUUGUUUCUAUUUUGUAUAAAGGAAAAAGUAAAUUAAAAAAAAAUCUCUUGCUUGUCCACCAUCUCCUUCAACAGGUUCAUGCUGUGAAUAUUAACUCCUUGUGCGCAGCCAUCUCAAGAAGAGCAGAGAGUUUUAGAUGUUCACAUUGAAGAACAGCCUGUACUCGUCUCAGUGUUGAAUUCCGUCUUGUGAUUAUAGCGGCAGGGAUCGCUUUCUGUUCACCAAAUUCAGCUUCAAAUACAUCUUUGAAUGUUGUGCUUGUGUGCAGUAGAGAGCUGAGCUUAGAUAACUUUGAAAGAGAAGGAGAUGUCACUUUAGUUUCUCACAGCCCAUCUCUCACCACCAGCUGAAGUGGUUGUUCUGC